rnacentral:rRNA from 1 species
UACGGGAGGCAGCAGUGGGGAAUAUUGCACAAUGGGCGCAAGCCUGAUGCAGCCAUGCCGCGUGUAUGAAGAAAGGCCUUCGGGUUGUAAAGUACUUUCAGCGGGGAGGAAGGCGGUGAAGUUAAUAGCUUCACCGAUUGACGUUACCCGCAGAAGAAGCACCGGCUAACUCCGUGCCAGCAGCCGCGGUAAUACGGAGGGUGCAAGCGUUAAUCGGAAUUACUGGGCGUAAAGCGCACGCAGGCGGUCUGUCAAGUCGGAUGUGAAAUCCCCGGGCUUAACCUGGGAACUGCAUUCGAAACUGGCAGGCUAGAGUCUUGUAGAGGGGGUAGAAUUCCAGGUGUAGCGGUGAAAUGCGUAGAGAUCUGGAGGAAUACCGGUGGCGAAGGCGGCCCCUGGGACAAAGCUGACGCUCAGGGUGCGAAAGCGUGGGGAGCAAACAGGGAUUUAGGAUACC